GUACGCUGGCGGCACGCCUAACACAUGCAAGUCGAACGAAGUAGCAAUACUUAGUGGCAGACGGGUGAGUAACAUGUAGGUAUCUACCCUUUGGCCUGGAAUAACACGAGGAAACUUGUGCUAAUACCGGAUAAGUCUUUACGGAGAAAGCUUUAUGCACCAUUGGAUGAGCCUGCACUUGAUUAGUUUGUUGGUGGGGUAAUGGCCUACCAAGACUGUGAUCAAUAGCUGAUUUGAGAGGAUGAUCAGCCACAUUGGGACUGAGACACGGCCCAAACUCCUACGGGAGGCAGCAGUGGGGAAUCUUGCACAAUGGAGGAAACUCUGAUGCAGCGAUGCCGCGUGAGUGAAGAAGGCCCUUGGGUUGUAAAGCUCUUUCGUCGGGGAAGAAAAUGACUGUACCCG
rnacentral:rRNA from 1 species